AGGCGUAGCCACGGUCUUCCGGGUUGUUGCACUUUGGGGUUCCCUGAUGGGCGCUACUAGUUGCGGAAGCUAAAUCGGUGGAGGGUAGAUUGCCCAUCACGGUUUAGUGGCCGCUCUCUAGGUUUGCGGAGCACAACAUCUGCGUUUCAAAAAUACUUUCAAAGUGAUUAUGAUCUGCCUCACCGCUGCACCAAUAAGGGGCCCCAGUGACCCCUAGUGCGCGGUCGGAACCUCUGGCAGCUCCAAAGCAACUGCUUCCGUCGCAGCCAAGCCACGUCUUUAGAGGGCCUGAUUACUGUGUGGGCGCGCGGCUUUUCCUGAGAAAUUGGGUUAGGGAUUAAAGGGACGAACCGCAUCCGGUUUUCUGUCCCCUGUUUACGUCCGACCUCCGCUGUACCCAACACCGCCCACCCGCCCGGGUGAGGCAACCGCUGGCCGCCUGGAGCUGCAUCUGGCGCUGUGCUGCGUCGACUCCGCCCACCCGUAGUAGGCUGGUCAGAAAUAGUCACCUCAAUGAAAAGGGCCCUCAAUAAUAAUUUUUUUUUCAAUGAAUUUCGAUUCUCAAGUUGAAUGACUUUUCAUGUUAAGCACACCCAGAGAAAAGUCUCAGAAAGCUAUUCAAGAUGAAAUCCGCUCAGUAAUCAGACAGAUCACAGCUACAGUGACAUUUCUGCCACUGUUGGAAGUUUCUUGUUCAUUUGAUCUACUGAUUUAUGCAGACAAAGAUUUGGUUGUACCUGAAAAAUGGGAAGAGUCGGGACCACAGUUCAUUACCAAUUCUGAAGAAGUCCGUCUUCGUUCGUUUACUACUACAAUCCACAAAGUAAAUAGUAUGGUGGCCUACAAAAUUCCUGUCAAUGACUGUGGUUGAGAUAAGGACAAUAAUAUACUUCGUAAUUCUCAAAUGUGGUUUUCCUGAGACCAAGUCAACGACAGUUGGUAUGUUUUCACUGGUUGAUUUUCAGAUGGGGAAAACUUAACAUACUUCACUGAGCUGUGCAUAAUUGUUCCAGUGUUUUGAUCUGUUUGACUUUACCUAGGGUUGACAUUAGUUACUGCACACGGUUCACAAGGGAACCAACAGAUAACUACAUCAGCAUUGUUAUGUCAAUGCCUUUGAAGGUAAUAACUGUACAUGGAAAAAUUUGCUAUAAAACUAAGUACCUUCCUAAAUCGGCCUCUUGGUCAAGUAGCUUGAUGCAGUAUAUACUUAGGGAGGUAUUUAAAAUAAAAUAUAGCAAAAGCAGUCUGAAUAUUCAGAAUCUUUGUUAGGUUCCUGAAAGUGUCUAAUGAUAAUCCGUAAGUAAUGAAAUAAUGCUGUUAGGCCCUUUGCCUUUAUUUCAUUUGUAUUUGUAUAGUUUCCAUAUUGAAGAAGUUCUCAGUUAUUUGAUUUCCAUUUAUGUAACUUGAACCUAUGAAGCUAUGGUUAUUUCUACUGUCUAAAUUCUUGUGAUACAAAACUUUUAAAAGUGUCUUUUAUGUUUUAUAAAAUCAAGCUUUAAAUGGCAAUGAUGAAAUAAAGUUAAAAUGCUUAUGUUUCAA